rnacentral:sRNA from 1 species
AACGAGCCCGCGUUAGGGAUUGUAGUGAAUAGCUUUUGGUGAGGUGCGCAUCGAGCCAAAACUUGUAGCGGAAAGCCCGACCCUUG